UAAUUCCUACCCCUAUAAAAAUCUCUAACUCCUAAAAUCAAAAAGGGGCCGAGACUAAGAGCAAAAAGCUGCGCAUCAGCUAGAGAAGGAGGAGCUGCUGCCUUCUCUUCUUCUUCAUGGAUCUCACUGAAAUAAACUGUACCGGAGGCUCCAUUAACACUCCAAACUUCACCUCGUCUUCCUUAAAAAAUAUAGCUUGAAGUUACUACAAUACCAGCCCCAAAAUCCCCAUAAAACUCCAUUUAUACCAGCACCAAAAUUCUCAUAAAAUUCCAUUAAAAUGCAGCAGCAGUAGCUACUUAAGGAGCACAUAAAUUGUCCCUUUCACAACCUUCUUCCUCCACUUUAAACCUACCUGAAACCUCACUUAAACUACCUUAAAAAUAGCUAUAAAAACAGCCACUAAGCCAUCUGAAAACAUGCACCGAAUGACUGCCAAAACACCUCUUCGAACUUCUCAUACAAGCACGUGAAAGGUCCUCAAAGCAGCAAAGCUUUAAGUCAAAGUUUUCGGUCUAUCGAGAUCUGUUCGUGAAUCCCUUUCACUGCUCGUUCUUAGUUUCUUCAGUCGAAAUUGAGGAUCUAUCGAGGUCGAGUUUCCGGCGAGUCAAGUUGUAAUCUUGUUGUUUUGACAACGAGUCGAUGUUGAAAGUCACGUAACUCAAUACCAAAGGAAAUGGCCUUAAGCUCAAUUGAAGGUUCAGUUCUUUUGUUUUUUUUAUUCAAUAAUAAAUAUCAUGCUUAAUCUAUUUCUCUAGAAUAUUUAAAUAAAUUUGGAAAAUCCACUUUGUUUGAAACUUAGCUCUGGAUGUUUUAUUUGGAUAAAUUGAUCUUAUGGUCUCUAAUGAUAUAGGCUAUGUGAUAGUUCAUUUUCCUUUAUUUUGCAUGAUUACUGUUUGAUGAAAUGCUUUAUUAAUCAUGGUAGUUAUUUGUUCUCUUAUUUAAAUGGAAUCGUUGCUGCUUAAACUAUUUUUGACAAUUUGUUUAUCUCGAAUUUUGUUUGAUACGCAAGGAGUUAAGUUCAGAAAAUGUAUCCGAUAUUUAUUAAAAUAAGAAUAAAAAAUAUUAGUAGAACUUAGCCGUAAUUUUGAGUGGCAAUUGUGAUCAAGUCACUUUAAAAAUUCUUAAUGCUACUCCUUAGACUAGAGUACAUCAUUUCUUUCACAAUAAUUCAAUAAUUCAUGGCGUUGCAACAAUCUCAAAGAUUAAGAAAAUAAUUCAAAAGUGCGUAGUUGCUUUAGGCGCGUUAUUUAAAUUAAUUUCCUUAAACUCGGGUGUGCAUUUCAUGUGACCCAACUCCAAUUCUCAACAACGUUAAGUAAAAUGUGUCAUGACCCGCGGGUGCAUUUCAUGUGGCGUGGUUCAAGAUAUGUUUUAGACAACGUUGAAACUUCCUAAAAUUAAAUAAAAGCGUUUUGAAAGUUAAAAAUGCACAUAGGUUUAAAAUGUAUUAAAAUCAUAUAAUAGGCCAAUAAUAAUAGUUGAGCGACCGUGCUAGAACUACGGAACCCGGGAAUGCCUAACACCUUCUCCUGGGUUAACAUAAUUCCUUACCCGGAUUUCUGUGUUCGUGGACUGUAAAUAGAGUCAAUCUUUCCUCGAUUCGGGAUUUAAACCGGUGACUUGGGACACCAUAAAUUAUCCCAAGUGGCGACUCUGAAUAAAUAAAUAAAUCCUAUUUCGAUUGUCACUUAAAUUGGAAAAAAACUCCCUUAUACUCCCUUCCGGGGGUAGGAAAACGGAGGUGUGACAAUAACCAACCUUGGACCCCUCUUUACCAAAUUCCUUUUUAUUUAAACCUUUUUUUACAACUUGUCCAAAUCUUUACUACUUGAGUUACCCCAACGUUCUUUGCUUGCGACCUAUUUGAUUCAAUUGUUUGCUUGUAAUGGACUAAUUUGUGAAAAUAAGUUCGGCCGAGACCCACAGUUGUGGACCAAGAGGGGUGCCUAACACCUUCCCGUCGAGGUUACUUUGAGCUCUUACCCUAAUUUCUGGUAAUGCAAACCAACCCAAGAGUUAAUCGCUCUAGGUGCCCUAACGCACCAUAAUCCAUUAGGUGGCGACUCUUCAAAUACUCAAUUCCCAAAAGGAGAUGAGUCAUUACACCCCGUGAAUGUCGAAACCCGGACUUCCCCGUCAAAAGAGGAAAAAAGGGGGUGCGACAGCAUGACGACUCUGCUGGGGAUACCUUUAGGCUCUUACCAUAACGAACUUAUCUUUUACAAAUUAGUCCAAGCAUGUUUUUCCCAUACCCUUCUCCCUUCUUUGAAUUUAACUGUCUAUUUUUCAAGCAUUUAUGAUUACUUUAUUGCCCUGAAACUAACUUGUCUCUUUAUUUCCUUUUUCCUGUAACUGUCUUUCAAUUAUUUAAAUACUGUGUUUAUUUUUCCUAUGUGAAAAUUCUUGACUACAUGUUAUUAAUUGCUACAUAAAUCGUGCUCCGCAUUGUAUUCCACUCGUGCGUCUCAAAUCUUAUAGCAAUGCUUUAAUGGGUGGUUAAGCUCUUCCUAUUUACUACCCUUAAAUUUGGAAAGGCUUAUUUGCAGUAAAACCAGUUGAUCAGCGGUGCAGUCGACAGUUCUGUGCCUUCCCCCUUAAGUUGUUUGCUUGAGGGUACCAGUCUAAAACCCCAUAGAAACCUUACUCUGGUUAAAUUUGUGCAUGCAUCAUGGUCAAACCUAUUUGGAUCAGUUAUGUUGUCCUCAUAAUGAUCCUUUAAGAUAAGCCUUAUCCAAAGUCCAUCGAGUUUUUCAUAAUCCCAACGGACACAACCACGUUUUGUGCAUUAAUUUGGAGAACUAAAUGUUGAUAUGUUGAUCAUUUAAAUGUAUAAAUAGUCGAGUCUGGUGGGGUAUGGUCUUAACCCUUUUGUUUUGCAGAAAAUGAAGAACGAGGUCCCCAGCUUCAGUAUGGUUAGCACACUCUCACUCUUGCUAGACUGGUGGAGGAGUCUUCCGUCAAAUAACCAAAUCAACGAAUGGAAAGAGAGGGCCGCCAAAUCCAAUGAAAAGCUGGAAUAUUUGGAAUACAGCCUGUUGGAAUUGGAUGGAAAGGUGAGGAAGAGAGUCACUGAUUACUAGAACGCUGAGGGAAGUGAAGGAGAACAUUUGGCAAAGGCAUUUUUACCGGUGAACCUAUGCGAAUUGGAGGAUUUGAUCAACGAGAGCAUUCAACCUGAGGAAGGUCCUUCUGGGACCAAAUAGAUUAGAUUUACCUGAUUUCCCUAAAAUGUAAUAAGGCCAAGUGCCAGUAGCGACUUAUUUUAUUAUUAUGUUAGUGUCAUUUUUGGAUUCAUCUACUUUUAUAUUUUGAAAUGAAUCAUUUAUUGGCAUUUGAAAUUCUCCAAAUUUAUUUGUCGUUAGGCUUACCUCAGGCAAAAUGAGGCUCCCAAAUUAGGAUACGAG
rnacentral:lncRNA from 1 species